rnacentral:rRNA from 1 species
UACGGAGGGGGCUAGCGUUGUUCGGAAUUACUGGGCGUAAAGCGCGCGUAGGCGGACCUGCAAGUCGGGGGUGAAAUCCCGGGGCUCAACCCCGGAAUGGCCUUCAAAACUCCUGGUCUUUGAGUUCGAGAGAGGUGAGUGGAAUUCCGAGUGUAGAGGUGAAAUUCGUAGAUAUUCGGAGGAACACCAGUGGCGAAGGCGGCUCACUGGCUCGACACUGACGCUGAGGUGCGAAAGCGUGGGGAGCAAACAGG